rnacentral:snRNA from 1 species
GGAUGUUAGGGCCAUCUAGCUGCGACAUCUGUCAUCCCAUUGAUCACCAGGGUAGAUUCAGCCAAUCUGGCUGGCUAGGCAGGCAUACCCUUCCUCCCUCACCGCUCCAUGUGUGUCCCUCCCAAAGAUGCAUGCUCAGUCGAAGAGGACGACCUUCCCGGAUAGAGGAGGACCAUUCUUGAGUCAAUAGUGUACAAGUAGUUGCACUUCCCUGCUAGAACCUCCAAACAAGCUCUCAAAAUAUUGAAUACUUAGGGAUAAAUUUGACAAAAGAUGUGCAAGACCUGUACACUGAGAACUAC